AACGAACGCUGGCGGCAUGCUUAACACAUGCAAGUCGAACGGAAAGGCCCUGCUUUUGUGCGGUGCUCGAGUUGCGAACUGGUGAUUAACACUUGAGUAACCUGCCCUUGACUUUGGGAUAGCUUCAUGAAACUGAGGCUAAUACCGGAUAGGAGCUCCUGCUGCAUGGUGGGGGUUGGAAAGUUUCGGCGGUUGGUGAUGGACUCGCGUCUUAUCAGAUUGUUGGUGGGGUAGUGGCUUACCAAGGCUUUGCCGGGUAGCAGGCCUGAGAGGGUGACAGGCCACAUUGGGACUGAGAUACGGCCCAGACUCCUACGGGAGGCAGCAGUGGGGAAUAGUGCACAAGGGGCGGAAGCCUGAUGCAGCAACGCCGCGUGCGGGAUGACGGCCUUCGGGUUGUAAACCGCUGUCGCCUGUGACGAAGAGUGAGUGACGGUAAUGGGUAAAGAAGCACCGGCUAACUACGUG
rnacentral:rRNA from 1 species